rnacentral:rRNA from 1 species
UACGGGGGGGGUAAGCGUUGUUCGGAAUUACUGGGCGUAAAGAGCGUGUAGGCGGCUUGGCAAGUCUGGUGUGAAAUCUUGCGGCUCAACCGCAAGCGGUCACUGGAAACUGCCUCGCUAGAGUCCGGAAGAGGAGAGCGGAAUUCCUGGUGUAGCGGUGGAAUGCGCAGAUAUCAGGAGGAACACCGAUGGCGAAGGCAGGUCUCUGGGCAUUAACUGACGCUGAGGAGCGAAAGCAUGGGGAGCGAACAGG